UUAAACCCAACGAUACUCUCCUAUCUCUCCGAGUCUCACUUCCUCACUAAUAUAAUCGGAAUCUGUGAAACUCUCCCUUAACACUGGCUCUGGAAAUGGAACCCGGAACGCAUUGAAAGAUGAGGGCAUGAACACUUCAAAGCUGCUGCUCUUUACACUCAGCCUAUCACUGUCUACCCUUCCAAUGAAACUCAGUAGUGGUAAAUUCUCCUUAAUUUGCCUCUGCUGGCUUCCAAAUUUAUAAAGAUAGCAUCUUUUUCUUAAAUUUAAGGCUCGUCUGUCCAGUUAAUUACUUUGCUUACCUAUGUUUCGAUUCCCGAGUUAAGUAGGAAACCAAUUUUGAUGGCUCGAUAUCCUUGUUCACGUGAGCUUCUCUCGCAUUCUUUAGCGUGCUUGGGUAUGCUCUGGGCUUAAGACAUCAUUCCGUUGUCUUCUGUGGCUUCUUUUCAUGGAGUGUUGUUUUCGGGAAUUAGAAGUUGACGAGUCUCGAGAGUUUAGUCACCUCAUUCGGUGGCUGUGGAUUUAAAGGGCCACACAGUAUGUCUUUCCUCUAAGAGGAAGUUGUAGAUAAUGGGUUUAGUUACCCUCCUUGUCUUCAAUUUGGAAAGUUUGGUUCUUAAGAACUGGUGAAAGAAACAUUCUCUUUCCUCGUAGAUACAAUGGAAACAGUUGUUAAAUUUCAUGGCAUGAAACUUGUAUACUAGAUCCAAGAGCAUACUUCCUUCUGGAUAAUAAGGGAAAAACACUAACUGGAUAAACUGAUAAAUUCACUCUGAUGGAUUUUGCUAUGUGUGCAGUGCAAGAGAAGCUUAGGUGUUGAUUUCAGGGUGAUUGUUACAUACAGUGAACGAAGUUCUCAGCUGCUGCCGAGAGUGACCUUUAUAGGAUGCUCGUCCAUAUAUUGACAGUCCUCUGAAAUCUGAAUCACCUCAUGCACACAGCAAUUGCUUCUCAUUCCUUGAGGCAGUAUGCCGAAAAAUCAUUUUUUACAGCAGAAUGCUAGUCAUGGCAAAGAAUAUUAUGGCUUAUCGGCAGGUGCAUUUCCCUUCUGUAUGUGUUAAAAGGCCAUAGCUUUUGCUAGGUCCCUUGCUCUUACCAUUUAGAAAUCCACUAAUGAUCUCCUGCCAUUGUUACAGGUUUGGCAAAUGCCAAGAAUCAGUUCCUGUUUCUGCACAAUGUGAUGAGGAAUUCGACGUGCUCUUGAACAGGGAGAAAUGGCACAUGGCGAAGGGAUGAUUUCGAUAGGGCACAAGUUUUCUUUUCCUUGAUUUGCAAUAUAAACAUUCCAGGCUGCAAGAACAUGCUUCUGGGCUAGCCAUAAUAAGGUGCUUCCUAUUUCAUUAAUACAUGAUCGAAGCAAGAAUUACAAUCAGCUUAAUUAGAGCUUCUAACGAAGCAAACCCAGCUGGGCGGCCAUUCAGGCUAAAUAAAAAAAGAUUCUGCCGGGGGACCUCAGCUUCAUAACUAUAAUGAGAUGAGAUUAGCUUAUAAUAUAUCACUGACAUAGGACAACAGUGACCAGACAGCAGCACUCAGAAGCUCCUCGCCAGGUAAACCGGUUUGGCAUCAGAGAUCAGACAUUGUUGUCUUGUCCAUUGGAUUCGGUCGUAACAUGUUUGGGGUUGCAUGUGUGCAGCAUGAAGUUGCAAGCUGCCACAGCUUCUGCCACAGUCAGGUAUAUCCAUUCUUGACCAAUACUUUUUAUGAAUUUGGACUUGUCUAGCUUCUUAAUAACCUCGCUCCGUGGGUUUGCCAGUAGCAGCUGCGCAAUCGAAACAUCAACAUGAGUUGCAACUAAUUAAAUUGAUUAGCUUCUUGCUGCAGUAAAAGUUAAAAGGUUUGUUUGUACCG
rnacentral:lncRNA from 1 species